rnacentral:rRNA from 1 species
AGAACGAACGCUGGCGGCAGGCCUAACACAUGCAAGUCGAACGCCCCGCAAGGGGAGUGGCAGACGGGUGAGUAACACGUGGGAACGUGCUCAAAGGUACGGAACAACUCCGGGAAACUGGAGCUAAUACCGUAUGUGCCCGAAAGGGGAAAGAUUCAUCGCCUUUGGAUCGGCCCGCGUCUGAUUAGCUAGUUGGCGGGGGUAAUGGCCCACCAAGGCGACGAUCAGUAGCUGGUCUGAGAGGAUGACCAGCCACACUGGGACUGAGACACGGCCCAGACUCCUACGGGAGGCAGCAGUGGGGAAUAUUGGACAAUGGGCGCAAGCCUGAUCCAGCCAUGCGCGUGAGUGAUGAAGGCCUUAGGGUUGUAAAGCUCUUUCGCCAGGGACAUAAUGACGGUACCUGGAUAAGAAGCCCCGGCUAACUUCGUGCCAGCAGCCGC